AUGUGCGACCAUACCAAGCUGAAAAUACUGCAUCCCGUCUGAUCUGCACAGUCAAGCAGCUUAGGGCCCAGUCAGUAGUGCGGUGGGGGACCAUGCGCGAACAUUGUGGUGUUGCACUU
rnacentral:rRNA from 11 species